rnacentral:rRNA from 1 species
GGGGGCAGCAGUGGGGAAUAUUGCACAAUGGGCGGAAGCCUGAUGCAGCAACGCCGCGUGCGGGAUGACGGCCUUCGGGUUGUAAACCGCUUUCGCCUGUGACGAAGCGUGAGUGACGGUAAUGGGUAAAGAAGCACCGGCUAACUACGUGCCAGCAGCCGCGGUAAUACGUAGGGGGCGAGCGUUGUCCGGAAUUAUUGGGCGUAAAGCGCGCGCAGGCGGUCUCUUAAGUCUGAUGUGAAAGCCCACGGCUCAACCGUGGAGGGUCAUUGGAAACUGGGGGACUUGAGGGCAGGAGAGGAGAGCGGAAUUCCACGUGUAGCGGUGAAAUGCGCAGAGAUGUGGAGGAACACCAGUGGCGAAGGCGGCUCUCUGGCCUGCACCUGACGCUGAGGCGCGAAAGCGUGGGGAGCAAACAGGAUUAGAUACCCUGGUAGUCCACGCCGUAAACGAUGAGUGCUAAGUGUUAGAGGGGUCACACCCUUUAGUGCUGCAGCUAACGCGAUAAGCACUCCGCCUGGGGAGUACGGCCGCAAGGCUGAAACUCAAAGGAAUUGACGGAA